rnacentral:tRNA from 1 species
UGGGGUGUAGUUCAGCGGCAGAACGUCUGACUGUUAAUCAGGAUGUCGGAAGUUCGAUCCUUCCCACCCCAGCCA